rnacentral:rRNA from 1 species
GAUGAACGCUGACAGAAUGCUUAACACAUGCAAGUCUACUUGAACUUCGGUUUGGGUGGCGGACGGGUGAGUAACGCGUAAAGAACUUGCCUCACAGGUAGGGACAACAUUUGGAAACGAAUGCUAAUACCUGAUAUUAUGAUUUUAGGGCAUCCUAGAAUUAUGAAAGCUAUAUGCACUGUGAGAGAGCUUUGCGUCCCAUUAGCUAGUUGGAGAGGUAACGGCUCACCAAGGCGAUGAUGGGUAGCCGGCCUGAGAGGGUGAUCGGCCACAAGGGGACUGAGACACGGCCCUUACUCCUACGGGAGGCAGCAGUGGGGAAUAUUGGACAAUGGACCAAGAGUCUGAUCCAGCAAUUCUGUGUGCACGAUGAAGUUUUUCGGAAUGUAAAGUGCUUUCAGUUGGGAAGAAAAAAAUGACGGUACCAACAGAAGAAGUGACGGCUAAAUACGUG